GUGGGGAAUAUUCCGCAAUGGACGAAAGUCUGACGGAGCAACGCCGCGUGAGUGAUGAAGGUUUUCGGACUGUAAAGCUCUGUUGUUUAGGACGAAAGUGCCUGUUGCGAAUAGUUACAGGUAUUGACGGUACUGAACGAGGAAGCCACGGCUAACUACGUGCCAGCAGCCGCGGUAAUACGUAGGUGGCAAGCGUUGUCCGGAAUUAUUGGGCGUAAAGAGCAUGUAGGCGGGAAUCUAAGUCUGUUGUGAAAAUGCGGGGCUCAACCCCGUAUUGCGAUGGAAACUGGGUUUCUUGAGUGCAGAAGAGGAAAGGGGAAUUCCCAGUGUAGCGGUGAAAUGCGUAGAUAUUGGGAGGAACACCAGUGGCGAAGGCGCCUUUCUGGACUGUGUCUGACGCUGAGAUGCGAAAGCCAGGGUAGCGAACGGGAUUAGAUACCCUGGUAGUCC
rnacentral:rRNA from 1 species